UAGCAACUAUCAAAAAUGAAUUUAAAAUAUAUGUUUACUUUUAAUCUACUAUUACUUGGGUAAUUUUAAUUGAACAAAUAUUGCCCAUUAAAAACCCUGGGAAAAAACAAUUAUAAAUGUAUACUUAAUUCCUGAAAAUGUUAUGCCAUUUAAAAUAGGAAAGAAUGCUGAAAUUUGAUUAGACUUUAAUAAUAUCAUAUUAGCAUGUAAGCUCAAGGUUACUGUAUAACCAGUGAAAUGCUUAAAAAGAAUUUUUAUAUUCCUCUAAAUACAAGACUUGGGAGAAAACAAGAUACUGCCUAGGUGUAAUAAAUACUGAAAGCUUGUCCAGAGAGAAUCUUUUUCCAAUAUUUUGCUGCCCCUGAUCAUAACACUAAAUUGAGUACGAAAUAUUAAUGCUUCUCAUUUGCAUGUCAUCAUGGUUAGCUCCAUUUUAGAAGGAAAACAUGGUUAAGUUCUGACACAUCAAAGACUCUGUUAGUCAGUGAGCUGCUGGAGUUACAGUUAUUAAUGACUGAGCGACUAGAAGGAGUUAAUCAGCACCGAGGUGCAUGUUCUGAGAUUGAGCAGAUGGUGUGAAAAUACAUCGGAUUUUAUUAUUGUAAUUCUAAUAUACAAACACACUGACAGAAUAACAGUUCUUAAGGAAGGAGCCAGAAAUAGGAUAAGCUUUUCUUUUAAAUCUCUGGCAUUUUAUUAAUUGAAAUUAGGUAUGAACGCCGCUUGAGUCCACACGCCGGCCCUUUGAUACACAGGCGCGAGGCAGGAAAUGAGGAGGGGCAGCGGGAGGCAGGGGAAGAGGUGCCAUGCUGCCAUGCUCAGCCGCGCAGCCUACAAGCAGCAUGUGGAAAGACGGCGAAGGGGGAGGGUACUCACCGGGGUGUUGGACUGCUCUGUCAGCUUUUGCUCCCACAUCUUUAAACGUCUUUCUCGUUCUUUAAGCUCCUGCUCCUUAAAGCUGAGAUCACGCUCUAGUUUCUUUAGCCUUUCAAGAGUUGCCUCAAUUUCGCACCUGCACAGGGAUAGCUGGUGUAAGUCUCAACUUUACUUAAGAGACAUCAAGCACUUAGUGGGUCCAUCAGAAUGCUAAUCAAAGUAAAAGACAAAUGCCGGUGCUUUAAAAUCAACCAGGAAGCUGCCGGAGGAGAAGGAAUCUUUCAUGUCCUUAAAUAUCAAGAGGUAGUUUCUAGCUUGAAAAUAUAAGCUCAAAAUAUUUCAACAAGGCGUUGAAGAGCCACUGGGGUGCAGCAUAAGCAAUGGAGCGGGUGUCCUGGUACAACCAUUUAGUAAAUGCUUACAUUUAUCUAGCUCUUUAUAGUUUGUAAGUGCUGUUAUCCAUGAUCUCAUCUUAUUCCCAUAACAGUCCCAAGAAACAGGUAUUAAUCUCAUAGUAUAGGUGGGAAAAUGAUAUUCAAGUUAGGUGUUAACACACCAUCAGUAAGUGGUUGAGAUGACACUUUAGGCUACUCAUUGGCUGAGUAACCCAAGCAAUCAAUUGACUAACCUGACUCAGUUUCCUUGGUUGUAAGGGGUGGUGGUUAUAGAACAUUAGGGUUCCCCUACCUGCCUGAUCCUUAGACUUACAUAGGCAACUUGUUUUUUAAAAAACCACACACCAGAACCCAACAAAACAUGGAUUUCUAGGACCCUUCCUUAGAGCUCAUGAGUCAGUAGGCCUGGGUGGGACCCUGGAAUUUUCAUUAUUUUAUAAAAGACCCGAGUAAUUUUUACAAUCAGGCAAAUGUAGAAAACCCUGGGCCAGAUGAACUCUAAGGUUCCUUUUAAUUCUCAUCAUUUUUAAAGGAAGUUAUCUCCCUUAGCGUCUAUAGGCCAACCAACCUCACCACUUGGAACCACAUGCUAUGUUACAGAAAUUUGUCCUUCACAGAAAGUGGAACUGGUACCAUGGCUCAGCACAAACGGUUUUCUCCUUUAGGGCUGUCGCAAUGUUUAAGUCUCAAUUUAUGUUUUCAGAACUGGAAGUUCUUUCCCUUGAGUUUCUGAAAAGCCUGUAAGUAAGCAACAAUACUGAGAGAAUGAGGGAGAGGGAGAGGGAAGUCAAGGCUAGAGAAGGCACUGGAGAGGAGGAUGCAGAAGAUGGGAACUGGGUGACUAUUGCAGAAUAGCUGCUGGGUGCUGCCAGCUGCUGCUUCCAGGUGCCGCUGAGGCAGUCCUGUGUUGCGACGGCAUAAUCAUGAUUGAGAUGUUGACUAUGGAAGGUAGAAGCCCCCACAUCUAAGUUAAUGAAUAUAUGUAACCAAAGUCUGCCUUUUUCUUUCUAGGGAGAAUAACAGUAAGUAAACAGCUUACUCUUAUUGGAACAUUCCAAUGCUCUUACAGAUACUAACCAAAUGAAUGAAAACAAAAAGUUCUGGACAUUCACUGGCAAAAUCCAACUCUGCACAGCCAAAGAUGCAUCUCAAGUUCCAGCUCUGGGAGCCUACUGCGAUUGUGAGCACUUCUGGAAAACGGAUCAAGAGUUAAAUGGACGGGAAGCUGUGACACAGAAACUAACACCGAGUAAAUCUCCGUCCUCAAUCUGUCUCCUCAGGCCCAGCUUUCCAACAGCACUCCCGACACUGCCGAGUCUGAAAUCGUGUGGGAGGUUAUAUGCCAUUAGAGAUGUGACCCCAACCCGGGGACGACAUAAAAACAGCUGCUUCCUUGGUUUUUUUGGUGCAUUGUUUUGUAUCAAAUGCAUUUGUUGAUAUAUUUAUAUAACCUUCUUGUUCUAAAAAUAUACUUUAAAUGUCUUAGUUGAUGAAAAUUAUGGUCUUCUUGUAAGCCAAAUCCAAUCAAGGUCAAUGUCAACUAGUAUCAAUUUUCCAUAUGCCAAAAACAGGCAAUGAACUGUAAUUAUCUUCUUUCAUCAGACAGAAACUUACUUUGAAAUAAAAGGUCAAUUUGUAAAAA